GAUGAACGCUAGCGGCAGGCUUAACACAUGCAAGUCGAGGGGCAGCGCGGGAUAGCAAUAUCCUGGCGGCGACCGGCGGACGGGUGCGUAACGCGUGAGCGACAUGCCCGUUGCCCGGGGACAACCGGUGGAAACGCCGACUAAUCCCCGAUGGGAUACGAUGCUUCAUGGCAUUGUAUUGAAAGUUACGGCGGCGACGGAUUGGCUCGCGUCCGAUUAGCUGGUUGGCGGGGUAACGGCCCACCAAGGCUGCGAUCGGUAGGGGUUCUGAGAGGAAGGCCCCCCAGAAUGGGACUGAGACACGGCCCAUAUUCCUACGGGAGGCAGCAGUGAGGAAUAUUGGUCAAUGGGAGGAAGCCUGAACCAGCCAGGCCGCGUGCGGGAAGGAGGCCCUAUGGGCUGUGAACCGCUUUUGCCUGGGGGAAAUAAGGGCGUCGCGCACGUCCGAUGAGAGUACCAGGCGAAUAAGCAUCGGCUAACUCCGUG
rnacentral:rRNA from 1 species